rfam:Ferrithrix thermotolerans DSM 19514 genome assembly, contig: EJ54DRAFT_scaffold00065.65
UAGCCGGUUAGAGUCCGGUCCAAGGAGACGCCAGAGUCCUUGGUAGGGAAGCCUCCGGGUUUGAUAGAGAUGUCAGGGUCGAAGCGGGGUGGACCAAAUGUGCGGUCCGCAGCAUAAAGCGAAUUCUCAAAGCGUCGUAA